GUUGAGGAGGCGGUGAAGGUGGAAGCGGCGGUGGAGGAAGAGGAUGAGGUAGCCAACACUGAUAUAUAUAUAAUGUUCCUCAGAGUAGCUGUUGACAUUAUAGUUGCACAGGCACUUUGUUGACUCUAGAGAACCUCAGACCAGACGCACAUCCCCGUGACGGCGAAUUAGCAUUUGGAUGUCAUCCAAAUCAACUUUCGAUGACAGUUUCUGCGCCUACCAUGGUGACCACGGGUAACGGAGAAUCAGGUUUCCAUUCCAUACAGGGACCCUGAGAAACGGCUACCAUAUGCAAGGAAGGCAGCAGGCGUGCAAAUGACCCACUCCUGAUGCGGGAAGGUAGUGACGAC